ACGAACUGAAGAAGAUCCAGAAGCUUCUGAGUCCAGAUUACCCAGAAUGCUCAGAGAGUCAGAGGGAGGAUGAGGAUGAAGAGCAGAGGAGGAGCAGAGAGGCAUUUCUGAAGAUCACACUGCACUUCCUGAGGAGAAUGAAGCAGGACGAGCUGGCUGACUGUCUGCAGCGCAGAAGUCAAGCUGGAGUUUGUAAGCGUAAACUCAAAUCUAAACUAAACAAGAAGUUCCAGUGUGUGUUUGAGGGGAUUGCUAAA